rnacentral:rRNA from 1 species
UACGUAGGGUGCGAGCGUUGUCCGGAAUUACUGGGCGUAAAGAGCUCGUAGGUGGUUUGUCGCGUUGUUCGUGAAAACUCACAGCUCAACUGUGGGCGUGCGGGCGAUACGGGCAGACUGGAGUACUGCAGGGGAGACUGGAAUUCCUGGUGUAGCGGUGGAAUGCGCAGAUAUCAGGAGAACACCGGUGGCGAAGGCGGGGUCUCUGGGCCGAUACUGACGCUGAGGAGCGAAAGCAUGGGGAGCGAACAGG